CUACGGGAGGCAGCAGUGGGGAAUCUUAGACAAUGGGGGCAACCCUGAUCUAGCCAUGCCGCGUGAGUGAUGAAGGCCCUAGGGUCGUAAAGCUCUUUCGCCUGUGAUGAUAAUGACAGUAGCAGGUAAAGAAACCCCGGCUAACUCCGUGCCAGCAGCCGCGGUAAUACGGAGGGGGUUAGCGUUGUUCGGAAUUACUGGGCGUAAAGCGCACGUAGGCGGAUUGGAAAGUUGGGGGUGAAAUCCCGGGGCUCAACCCCGGAACUGCCCUCAAAACUAUCAGUCUAGAGUUCGAGAGAGGUGAGUGGAAUUCCGAGUGUAGAGGUGAAAUUCGUAGAUAUUCGGAGGAACACCAGUGGCGAAGGCGGCUCACUGGCUCGAUACUGACGCUGAGGUGCGAAAGUGUGGGGAGCAAACAGGAUUAGAUACCCUGGUAGUCCACACCGUAAACGAUGAAUGCCAGUCGUCGGGUAGUAUACUGCUCGGUGACACACCUAACGGAUUAAGCAUUCCGCCUGGGGAGUACGGUCGCAAGAUUAAAACUCAAAGGAAUUGACGGA
rnacentral:rRNA from 1 species